rnacentral:rRNA from 1 species
AUUGAACGCUGGCGGCAGGCUUAACACAUGCAAGUCGAGCGAGCGGCGGACGGGUGAGUAAUGUCUGGGAAACUGCCUGAUGGAGGGGGAUAACUACUGGAAACGGUAGCUAAUACCGCAUACCAUCAGAUGUGCCCAGAUGGGAUUAGCUAGUAGGUGGGGUAAUGGCUCACCUAGGCGACGAUCCCGAGCUGGUCUGAGUGGAUGACCAGCCACACUGGCACUGAGACACGGUCCAGACUCCUACGGGAAGCACCAGUGGGAAAUAUUGCACAAUGGGCGCAUGCCUGAUGCGGCCAGGCCGCGUGUGUGAAGAGGGCCUUCGGGUUUUAAAGCACUUUCAGCGAGGAGGCGUUACUCGCAGGAGAGUCACCGGCUAACUCCGUGCCAGCAGCCGCGGUAAUAC